rnacentral:rRNA from 1 species
UACGAAGGGGGCUAGCGUUACUCGGAUUGACUGGGCGUAAAGGGCGCGUAGGCGGUUCGUACAGUCAGACGUGAAAUUCCUGGGCUCAACCUGGGGGCUGCGUUUGAUACGUGCGGGCUUGAGUUCGGAAGAGGGUCGUGGAAUUCCCAGUGUAGAGGUGAAAUUCGUAGAUAUUGGGAAGAACACCGGUGGCGAAGGCGGCGACCUGGUCCGAUACUGACGCUGAGGUGCGAAAGCGUGGGGAGCAAACAGG